rnacentral:lncRNA from 1 species
GGGAAGGAGCAAUAAGGCUAUCGAUAAUAGCAAUAAUACUUGAAAAGUAGGAACCUGCCUGACCAGCCUGGCACCCAGAACCGCCAUCUGCUGAUCUCCAAGCAUGGACCACAAGAGGGAGCAUUUUGUUCAGUUUAUUGGCAAAGACUAUUUUUCCCUAUGUGAAGCAGAGAGGAAAAACCCAGUUUCUGGUUAGAUCUUGAUGUCUUCGCUCCAUUUUCAGUUGCAAGUGAAGCUGCCAAAUAAGGUCAAGUACAAGAAUGUCAGUAAUGCGGGAUCAAAUGCAUGAUCGACUGGAUGAUCUGCUAUCAUGGUGUGACAGCUAUCAUUUACCACUGAGCACUCAACAAGGAUCGGGAGUGUCGGCCACAGAACAUCUGCUGCAUUUCCUCCCAAGAAUGAAUUACACCACGAGUGGAUCCUCCAGUGAUACUAUAGCUGGAAUCAGCUGAGGGAGAUAGCACUAAAAGCCGUGCAACUUUCCACAGAGGAGAGAGAACGGAAGACAUCUCACUUCAUCAGCCAAAAAUCACUGCUUAUUAACUAACCUGAAGUGAAUUAGAACAACUGAUUUACUCAGAAUUUGACCGUCAUAGCAAGGGAAGAGUUUUUUUGCAAUAAAAAAAAUUCAGUCUUUUCUAAAAUGGUGCUU